rnacentral:misc_RNA from 1 species
UUAAGUUCAGCGGGUAGUCCUACCUGAUUCGAGGCCAGAUGUGAAAUGAAACGCCAGUAAAGGCGGUCCUCGAAGGGACGGUUAGAAGCCUUCGAAUGAUGACCCAGCGCCUUGACGGCUGCCCGCGUUGAUGUAUUAUCACACGGUUUAACUGAAGUCGAAAUCGUCAGCUAAUGCAUUCAAGACGAGCCGAACGGUGA